rnacentral:misc_RNA from 1 species
GAUGAAGAACGCAGUGAAAUGCGAUAAUUAAUGUGAAUUGCAGAAUUCAGUGAAUCUUCGAGUCUUUGAACGCACAUUGCGCCCCCUGGUAUUCCGGGGGGCAUGCCUGUCCGAGCGUCAUUGCUGCCCUCAAGCACGGCUUGUGUGUUGGGCUUCCGUCCCUGGCAACGGGGACGGGCCCAAAAGGCAGUGGCGGCACCAUGUCUGGUCCUCGAGCGUAUGGGGCUUUGUCACCCGCUCCCGUAGGUCCAGCUGGCAGCUAGCCUCGCAACCAAUCUUUUUAACCAGGUUGACCUCGGAUCAGGUAGGGAUACCCGCUGAACUUAAGCAUAUCAAUAAGCGGAGGA